rnacentral:rRNA from 1 species
CCUACGGUGGGCAGCAGUAGGGAAUCUUCCACAAUGGACGAAAGUCUGAUGGAGCAACGCCGCGUGAGUGACGGAGGGUUUCGGCUCGUAAAGCUCUGUUGGUAGUGAAGAAAGAUAGAGGUAGUAACUGGCCUUUAUUUGACGGUAAUUACUUAGAAAGUCACGGCUAACUACGUGCCAGCAGCCGCGGCAAUACGUAGGUGGCAAGCGUUGUCCGGAUUUAUUGGGCGUAAAGCGAGUGCAGGCGGUUCAAUAAGUCUGAUGUGAAAGCCUUCGGCUCAACCGGAGAAUUGCAUCAGAAACUGUUGAACUUGAGUGCAGAAGAGGAGAGUGGAACUCCAUGUGUAGCGGUGGAAUGCGUAGAUAUAAGGAAGAACACCAGUGGCGAAGGCAGCUUACUAAACUGCCACUGACAUUGAUGCUCGAAAGUGUGGGGAUCAAACAGGAUUAGAUACCCUGGUAGUC